CCUACGGGGCGCAGCAGUGGGGAAUAUUGGACAAUGGGGGAAACCCUGAUCCAGCGACGCCGCGUGAGUGAAGAAGUAUUUCGGUACGUAAAGCUCUAUCAGCAGGAAAGAAAAUGACGGUACCUGACUAAGAAGCCCCGGCUAACUACGUGCCAGCAGCCGCGGUAAUACGUAGGGGGCAAGCGUUAUCCGGAUUUACUGGGUGUAAAGGGAGCGUAGACGGCAGCGCAAGUCUGGAGUGAAAUGCCGGGGCCCAACCCCGGAACUGCUCUGGAAACUGGGAAGCUGGAGUGCAGGAGAGGUAAGCGGAAUUCCUGGUGUAGCGGUGAAAUGCGUAGAUAUCAGGAGGAACACCAGUGGCGAAGGCGGCUUGCUGGGUCGAUACUGACAUUGAGGCACGAAAGCGUGGGGAGCAAACAGGAUUAGAUACCCCUGUAGUC
rnacentral:rRNA from 1 species